rnacentral:SRP_RNA from 1 species
ACCGGGCAUGGUGGUGCAUGCCUGUAAUCCCAGCUACUCAGGAGGCUGAGGCAGGAGAAUCACUUGAACCCAGGAGGUGGAGGUUGCAGUGAGCCGAGAUUGCACCACUGCACUCCAGCCUGGGUGAUAGAGUGAGACUCUGUCUUAA